UAAAAGUUUUAUUUAAUUCGAUAACAUCUAGUAUUUAGUUACAAAAAAGUAGGUAUUUUUAAUACUCAUUUUUUAAAACUAAAUAUAAUAUGUACAGUAACGUAAAAUUAAACAUUUAUACAAAACUGUGUGCAUAGACUAGAAAAUACAAAUAUUUUAAAAUUCUAUCAUAAACUUUUUUGCUUCAUUUUCAACAUAUUUUUUUUUAAUUAAAUAUAACAAUAUUAGUAAACAUUUCAAUAACAUUUUAAAUGUGUGUAUUCUAUUAAAAAAUAAAGUCAUUAAUAAAAAAAUUAAUAAUUAAAAAAACCAAAAUUAUUACCAGUUACUUUUUUCAAAAUUACUUAUAUUUCUUGUUGUAAAAUCUUGGUACAUACAUAAUAUUAAUACUAUUAUUGUCCCUGAUUACAUUCAGUCAACAUUUCAUAUUGAUAAAUAAAAAGUAUAAUAUUAAAAUGAAUGAAUUAUUUAUUUACUAUACAAUAUACAUUCAAAUUCAUAAUUUCUAAAAUAUUAUGGCAAACUGUUUAAAGAACAAAAUAAUAAUAACAACCAAAAACCACCAAAAUUUAAAAUAUAUGUAGGUAACCUUUAUUUUCAAUUCAAUAACCUGAUUUCAUAUACCUACGUACAGUUAUAAUAAUAAAUUAUUAUUUACAUUUGAGAUAUAAAAUGGAAUAUUAUUCGAAAUAGUUAAUUGACUAAGCCGAUUUUGAUGAAACAUAUUUCAGCCUCUAAAUUCGAUGCAUAUGUUUAUCUGUGACCAUCGAAUGACGCCCGAAAUCAAUAUUCUAAUCAAUCUAUCUGUAAUCUGUGGAUAAGUUACUUAACAAUGUCAAAAAAAAAAAUCGAAGUUUUCAUAAAACGUAAACUUAUUAAAUCCUAUAACAAUGUAAAGGAUCAUUUGAAUGAUAAGAAAGCUUAGGAAUUACUUGCUUAAUAGUUUUUAAGUGAUAGUGUGAAAUGGUUGAAUUUGUUGUGGGCUCUUCUCAGAAUAGGGCGCGUUUGGAACCCUCGUAGCUUUAGUCUUGAAUUACGUAAUUAAUAAUCACCAUUACAUCAUUAUCUCACAAAUUCAACCAAAAAGUGUACCAUGGUACCCCUUUUGAAUAAAUGCUUUUGAUUUUAUUUUGAAAAGACCAUGAUAUCUGUAGAUAUACAGACAAAUAACAACGUUGCUAAGUAACUUACCGACAGAUUAUAGAUAGAUAGAUUAUUUUGUCCGAAAACAGAUCUUAAUGCAAAGCGAGUAUUGUUUCCAAAAUAGAUAAAAACAAAAUAAGCAACAAAACAAUAAAAUUACUGGCGCAUUGCGUUGUUCCAACUAUUUUACUAUACCUACUUUACUUACCCUAAGUUUACUUAAAAGGUAAACAAAUAGGCAUAUACGACCUCAUUGCCGCGAACUGACUAUCAAAUCAUUACUCGACUGAAAAACUUAACUGCAGAAAGGUUCAAAGCGCCGGGCAAAUAGCGUCGCUUACGCGUUUUUGCGAUUUGUUCAUCUUUUAAGCAAACUAAGAAAAAACGGUCUUAACUAUACCUAUACAAAAUAUUAAACGAUUUUUUUAAUAACAGUAGGUAUAAACUAUAAUUUUUUCAUAUAUUAUUUAUUUCCUAAAACUAUACAAUCGCAACCACAGUAAAAAACGCAAUUAGCAAAUUUUUUAACAUCACAUAAUGCUUGCGAAAGCGACAAAACAUUAAUAUAAUUUGAUAAAAAGUUUCUUUGGAACAGUAACCAUAUUUCAUUAUAAUUUCAUAACAUACUUCAUAUUUUUUUAUGUUACUUGUCAUAUUUUUUUAUUCAUGGGUUACAUAUAUAUUACAACUGGGUUGUUGGGUAUAUUACAACUUACAAACAUUGCUCGCGAAAUAUCACUAAAGUUAUCAUUAAUCGAGUAAUAAUUACCAUUUUACUAAUAUCAACCGAGUAAUAAAUAUCAUUUUAGUAAUAUCAAACGAGUAAUAAUUAUAAUUUUAGUAAUAUUGCUCAUUUUAAUUUUAGUUCUUCAAAGUAUAAUAAUUCGUGACUAAUGAUUUAUGAAGUUAACUUUUUUAAAGUCUAAUUUAAAAAAAGCUCACUUUUAUUAUUUUGAAAAAUUUAACACAAAAAGAGACUCUUUUGAAAUAAAAUCUAACCUAAUCUAUCUUUCAACAUUUUAAAUUAUGUAGGUACUUUUCAACUUUUUUACUUUACAUAGCUUUAAGCCAAAGCUGGAGACAAUUUGUUACAAAAUCACAAAAAUAUCUACAAAUGAAUUUUUCUGAACAUAUUUUCCAUAAGCAACACAUAUUUACAUAAUUUGUGUGUAUAUAAUAAAAAAAAGUUGGUAAUUUUUUUUUGUUUAACUUUUUCAUUUUUAUUCAUUGAGCAUGCCACACAAUGCAUGUAAACCAUAUAACAUCAAUUUAAACAUUUGUAAUAUAAUAAUUUUUAUUAAGUUUUGUUGAGUGUUUUCAAGUAAUCAUAGAUUACCAAAAUUACUCAACAUAACCUCGUCAUGUGGCACUUUCACUAUUCAAUUAUUACUUUUAACAGUUCAAGUAAGACUGGUAAAAUCAGUAAUCAUUGAUUACCAACAUACCAGAAGUCAAUACAAGACUCUCUCUGUUACGAAAGUACAGCAUAAAUUAUCUCACGAGGUUUUCUAUUUAUCGGAUAUAGUUUUAUUUUAAACGAUAGAUAAAUAAAAACAAUUGUAACAGUGGAAAUGAAUUGACAUCAAAGAAAAUAUUUGAGUUUAAAUACUACAAGUAAUAUCAGUAAUCAAUGAUUACCAACCUGUUGUUCUUAUUGUACCAUGUGGAACUAGCCCGUAUCACGUAGUACAUAAUAAAACAACAGGUAAUCUCGGUAAUCAGUGAU